AACCGGAGGAAGGUGGGGAUGACGUCAAAUCACUCUGGCCUUUACGAUUUGGGCUAUACACUUGCUAUGAUGCACAAUACAAAGGGCAGCUAAACCGCGAGGGCAAGCAAAUCCCAUAAAGUUCUUCUCAGUUAUGAUUGUCGGCUGCUCCUCUACUUGAUGAAGCUGGAAUCGCUAAUAAUCGUGGAUCAGAGCGCUACGGAGAAUACUUUCCGGGGUCUUGUACACCCCCCCCGUCACACCAGGAGAGUGUGUAACACAAGAAGGGGGUAGAAUAACUUUUUGGGGGGCUAGCCGUCGAAGGUGACACAAGAGAUUGGGGGGAAAUCUCAAAAGGGUGUCCGUAUGGGAAAGUGCGGUUGGAUCACC
rnacentral:rRNA from 1 species